GGGUUCUGCGUGGUGGAAGAGGCCAGGCUCUUGGUGGCUCCUUUAGCCUUGUCGGAGGCUUCCUUCACUGGACCCCUGAGCAGCCGCUGGGGCGUCUCUCCUGCGUCUGCACAAAACCAAAACACUGGCUGUGACUUGAAUUUCACGUUAAGCCGCUACACGUCAUUUGCAUACUUACCAGGGCGCUGAGGCUGACGUCUGAAGGUGCCGGUGGGGCAGAAUCACACAACAGCGAUAACGCAUCGGCACCAUAUUUUGCCAUAAGCAUGCUUUUUUUUGUUGUUGUUGGCUUUUUGUCCAAUCAAGAAGUGAUUCUGAUUGGAUGGACAAGGAGCUUUUCCUCUAUUAAUGUUUUUUAGAUGCUGUGUUUGUCGUGUGGACCAACCUUGCAGAUUUGACAGCGCGUAUUCCAGCCCUUUCAUAGCUUUCGCUUGGUUGCUUUUGAAGCGGGCCAAUCCAAACUCCUGAGUGCAGACAAGGAGGAACAACAGGAAAGUCGUUUACAUGCAGGACAGAUAUGAAGAGCAUGACUUCCUGUUUUGAAUUUUUACGCCCUGCGGCAAAAAAUGUACUUUCUUGCACAAAGCAGUUGAAUGUGUGUAAACAAUUUAAGGUGAGGAGUUUGCGGUAUUAACGAGACGAAAAGUUAUUCGGAGACCUGGAUGGGUCGAGAGAAGCCGUAAAUGCUGGAGGAGAUCCAUGCCUCUCGUUUCAGUUGGGUGACUCCCGGCAGCUCUUCCGAGUCUCGGAAAACACAACGCUCCUCCACCGACUGGUGGGAAAACAAAGAAAAAGAUAAGUCCAACAAAGCUUUUUGUGAAACAAAAUAAUCAAAUUGCCUGAUGACAGCUUCCAAAGGUUUUUUGGACCAUUUGUAGAGUUGCAGUGGUGACCGCAAAUCACCUUCAUUGGUCUAUAUUUCAUUUCAGUGGAUCGGCUUUCUCACCAUGAGAGUGGUGUGGUUGAGGUUCCAGGUGUACGUUGUCAGACUCCGGCUGACCGGGUCCACGAUGGAGUCCUCCACAAUGUACACGGAGCGCGACAUGCCAGUGGGGAAGAAGCGCUCGGCCCAGCGCGGCAGCCGGUUGGUCUUGGUGAGCAGACGUCUGGAAAGGAGCCGGUGGUCCGUGGUCACCUCGCGGUGCACGACAUCCUCCGUGAGAACGUGCGUGCUGGACAACCACAGGAACAUUCAAAGGUGAUCGAAGACAACAACAUCAACGAUGUUAUGUGUUACCUGAAGGGGUUGGGAUAGCGCUGCCAGAACGCAGACACGACAUGGUCCCACGUGUCGCCGAUGUCACUUUUGUUAGUAAAGUACUUGACCAUUGUUCUGCUGAUGGUGGUCCGACUGAUGUGUCAAAGUGCAGUCACUUGUGACGACACCAU